rnacentral:rRNA from 1 species
AUUGAACGCUGGCGGCAGGCCUAACACAUGCAAGUCGAGCGGAGCGGCGGACGGGUGAGUAAUGCCUAGGAAUCUGCCUGGUAGCGGGGGAUAACGUCCCGAAACGGGCGCUAAUACCGCAUACUAUCAGAUCAGCCUAGGGCGGAUUAGCUAGUUGGUGGGGUAAAGGCCUACCAAGGCGACGAUCCGUAACUGGUCUGAGAGGAUGACCAGUCACACUGGAACUGAGACACGGUCCAGAAUCCUACGGGAGGCAGCAGUGGGGAAUAUUGGACAAUGGGCGAAAGCCUGAUCCAGCCAGUCCGCGUGUGUGAAGAAGGUCUUCGGAUUGUAAAGCACUUUAAGUUGGGAGGCGGUACCAGCAGAAUAAGCACCGGCUAACUACGUGCCAGCAGCCGCGGUAAUUC